AUCCAUACCAGGAACAAGUGUGAUGUUAUAUAUGGCAAAGGCUUUGCAAACUGUGAGCCUUGGGAAAAAGUUAUUUUCUAUAAAUUGGGGAUUAUGGCCACUCACAAGAUCCCGGCCCUCAUCUCUGCUUCAGGAGGUCUCCUCUUUUGGCUGAUCUCACGGGGCCUUCCUCAUCUCCCUGAGAAAUCUCUCUUCUGGGAGUCUAGAACCAGGAUUGCCUCUUCCCAGAAUGUUAUCUCUAUCUGUCUCUGCUCCAGAAUAUGAGGCAAACACCUACUCAUCUCCCAAGGAUCAGCCAGGUAACACCUACUCUGGGGCCAUGGCUAAGGAAAUGACUGAGGAAAAAAAUGAGGAGAAUCCAGGAAUUCUCAGGAGACAAAGGACACUCUUCUUAGGUGGAUAAGCUUGCUCUGAAGAUCAACUUUGGAAAUGAUAGACUGGCUUCAGAGAACAGCCUUGGCAAUCUCCUGGCCCUGCAUCUCCUUCCCCCCUCAGUGCAUCCUGAGAAGCAGGGGAAUGGCCUGGAGUAAACUGAGACAACAGCU